GACGAACGCUGGCGGCGUGCUUAACACAUGCAAGUCGAACGGAAAGGCCCCCUUGUGGGGUACUCGAGUGGCGAACGGGUGAGUAACACGUGAGUAACCUACCCUUGACUUUGGGAUAACUUCAGGAAACUGGGGCUAAUACCGGAUAGGAGCUCCUGCUGCAUGGUGGGGGUUGGAAAGUUUCGGCGGUUGGGGUUGGACUCGCGGCUUAUCAGCUUGUUGGUGGGGUAGUGGCUCACCAAGGCUUUGACGGGUAGCCGGCCUGAGAGGGUGACCGGCCACAUUGGGACUGAGAUACGGCCCAGACUCCUACGGGAGGCAGCAGUGGGGAAUAUUGCACAAUGGGCGGAAGCCUGAUGCAGCAACGCCGCGUGCGGGAUGACGGCCUUCGGGUUGUAAACCGCUUUCGCCUGUGACGAAGCGUGAGUGACGGUAAUGGGUAAAGAAGCACCGGCUAACUACGUG
rnacentral:rRNA from 1 species